UACGUAGGGUGCAAGCGUUGUCCGGAAUUAUUGGGCGUAAAGCGCGCGUAGGCGGCCACUUAAGUCGGAUGUGAAAGCCCCUGGCUCAACUGGGGAAGUGCACCCGAAACUGAAUGGCUUGAGUGCGAAAGAGGGUCGCGGAAUUCCUGGUGUAGCGGUGAAAUGCGCAGAUAUCAGGAAGAACACCAAUGGCGAAGGCAGCUCUCUGGGACGGUACUGACGCUGAGACGCGAAAGCGUGGGGAGCGAACAGG
rnacentral:rRNA from 1 species